UUUAGAGCCAGAUAGACCUAAGGAUUAUAGAUGGUGCUACGGACUGUUUUUUUUUUUGUAGGUAGCUGCUCAAUUUUUAUGACAUGGGCUCAUUUCCUGCCUGGGAGAAUGUCAUGUCUGAACCACAAGGCAGCUCUCCCUCUGUCAGAUACCUAAGGUAGCUCCAGAUUGUCUGGUUCUCUGUGCAGGUGUCCUUUCAGUAACUGAAAGUGUUGAAGAAGUGGAAGAAUACAACUUUGGCUAUUCCUAUGGUCUUGAAGCAAGAGAAAACAAAUGCUCUUUGCAGCAGAUGUUCAAUGCAUUUUGAAAUAAUUUCAGACUGUCAGCUUUCAGGAACCCUGUACUUUGCUGAAGGAAGGAGCAUUUAAGCCUGUCAAGUUUCAGAUGCAGCCAAAUGAAAAUGGAUUUACUAGAGCCAUCCUUUCACUUUGAAUUCUGAAAACCAGAAACCUUCUCCCACAUUAUCUGUGGCAUAAUGGUAAGCAAGGGAGAGCUGUCCUCUUAGCUUAGAAACAGCCCUGAAGGAAUGCAGCUCCCAUCUGAUGCUCAGCAACACUCAAAGUUCUCCAGUCCACAGCACAGAAGGAAAUUGUCACUAGCUGCCAGAGAAAGAUCAGAAGAGUUUGCAAAAUUAAGCACCCAGAUGUUUCUUGUCUCCUGAAGAUUGGAGUCUUGCACCUCUCUUGGAGUUUGCUCUUUCUGCAAUGUAAAGUCAAGCCAUUGAAUUUGAGAGGUGUUAGUGAGGAGGUAAAAGGUAUUCUGCAUCACUCCUGUGGAGAAUUCUCAGAAAUUCUCUCAUCUGUUCAAGAUAUGCUUUCUCUUAACAGCCUUACUGAAAAAGAAAAAGCAGGACUUUGGUGAGGAUUUGCCAUUUCCUGAUGCAGUACCUCUAUGCGAGGUAGCAUGCAUCCUGCUACAACUUUCACUCCAAGCAGAGCCUGACCCAGGAGUGUUGCAGUGGGUAAUAUUCUUGUGGCAUGUGUAAGAAGGCGUUUUCUGCUGUACUGAUGCAGUUUCAUGAUGCAGCGCUCGCAGAGAGGAGGACCUGGCUGCAGAGAGAUCUCUGCCACGUGCCGGAUCUGCAGAUGCAUUGGGAACGUCUGCCUGUGUAAACACAGAUGCUAUUUUGCAAAAGUUUCUAGAUAGCAGCUGAAUGAUGACUCAGACGUUUUUGUCCCUGCAGAGCUGCACAUGGUACUGUGUACAGCAUCGUGAAAGGCAUUGGAGCAAACGUAUUAAUGGAGAGCUCUUUACUCUGGAAUUUUUGUGCACCCCACAUUUUUGCCACAAUGCUCUCUGCAAUAAGCCAUAAUGCUUUUCUGUGUGAUGGCAUGCAUGGUAAUAAGAGUAGAUAACGGGCAUCCUUCUGUUUAGAUGAAAUUGUUUUGAAAAGUGGGUUUAUUGAAUGUGAUAUUUCAGAGAAAUAUGACUUUGUUAAAAUUUACACAAAGGAAUUUUUAAAAUCCUGAACUUUCUGGUAGCUUUAUGUGUUUGAAAAAAAGGAAAAAGGGUGGAGAGAAACGAAAAAAGGGGGAAAAAUAAAGACAAAUUUGAUAGCUCACUUGUUUAUAGACAUUUUAGCACAAAUUUGAUACUCUAUUAAAAGUUAUUUCCUUGCAUUAAUGCAGAUCAAAAGCAAAGGGAAAACCUCAAAACUUGCCACAAAAUGGAAUAUUUAUCUUCCAGAGAGCUUUAGUGUUAAGCAUACUUUAAACAGCUGUCUUGUUCUUCUUUCUGUGCAGAGUAAGAGGAACAGAUUGCUAUCAGGCAAUUUAAAGGGAUUAUCAUAUUUGGGAUAAAAUUACAUUUAAAACUACUAAGGAAAUGCAGAAUAUGAUCUCUGAAAUCAGGAUCAGUUCCUGAACUGGAAAAAGAGACUGAGUAUGAAUUUCAUUGCUCACAAAAAUGAAAUUAGGUUUUAAUGAUUGUAGAUAUUUACAGUAUGAGUGGUUGAAUAUAUUAAGAUGUUCAACAUUUUGGAUUGUAACUGUGAAAUCAAUGUGAUGAAGAAAUCUAUUUUCAAAGUGAAGUCUGCUGGUGAAAACAUACGGCAAUUAAAAGCUUACAAUAAAUAAUGUCUAUGAACUAUAGUUAAUUUUUAAGUCUUCAAAAUCUGUAACCAUUUAUUGAUACAAUGUCUGUCAACUGCUUUAUUUUUUCUGGCAAUUUGUUGACAGCAUUUAGUUUACAGCAUUUUGAAAUCCAUUUUUGCAACCAGAAAAAGUGAUCUGUGAUAGGAAUUGCAUCAUUUUGCUGGCACUAUAGAUAUGAUAUUUCUGGUGUAGUGGGUAGGAACAGAAUUUAAAAAAAAGUAACUUGAUUUGAAAACACAGAUAAAUAUUACAGCAGCUUGAAAUUUUUGAUUUAAUACUUUGAAUUUUCCAAUGAUAAUUAUUUUCAGGUGUUAUAUUUCUAGCACAGGAAAAGUGCUUGUUACUUUUGAGAAAAUUAUUAUAUAUCUCUGAAAGGGAUGGCAGGAUAUUUCUUUCAUGUAUAUGAACUUUCUCAUACACUGAUUAAAUUUAAAUAUAUGAACAUUUUGCAGUAGUUAAACAUGUAUUUAGCUACAGGUCUCCUUAGUGUUUUGUUUUAAAACAAUGUGUGUUAAAACAAGUGAGCUCUUCAGUAACUUUCACUAUAAUUUUCUGCUUAUUUCAGAUCUCUGUUUUUGCCAGCACUGUUUACCUUUCAGUAUUCUCUAUUAAUCUGUCUAAACUUCCUUAUUGUAUUGAAGAUGUUAUAUAGUAUUUUGAAAGGCACUGCCUGCUUUCUUGCAGUAUUUUCUAUUUUCCCAAUAUUUUCAAUCUUUUCCCAGCUGGCUAAUAAUAUUUUACUGACCCAGACAAAGAAAACAUAAUAGAAAACUACAUCUCCUGAUGUGAUUUUUGUGAAAUCAAUUGAGUCAAAGUACAGAAGAAUCCAUAUCCAUGGCUUAGUGAGCCUAACUUCUCAAUGCUCUGAGUCAGGAUAUGGUAAAUAGCACUUGGUAAUUUUCCUGGUUCAGUCAGGCUUGGUAAGAUCUUUUUUCCUUUGAUGCUCAGAAAAGAAUAUUAUUCCAUGUGCAAUUAGAUCUCUCUCACUUUGGUACACAGAACCUCUGCAUUACAGAGGUGGCAGGAGCACACGUGUAGAAGGUGUAAUCAGUAACAGAUUCUGGAUGCAAAAAAAGCUUAUUGCAUUUGUUUUAGAUAGCAACUCACGAGCUUAGGAAUGACUAGUCUCCUUGAAAAUGUCAUAAAUCAUGGUAUUGCUGUUCAGUCCUUCAAAGUAAUUACUGUAUUAUUUCUACCAAUUUGUUCAGUGUAGACUCUUGUAGAUGACACUUUCAACUGUGAUUGAAUGAAUUGAGUUCUGAAGCCAGAAGCUGACAACAAAUCAUUCUAAUGAGGCUCCUUCUAUUUGUCAUAUAACAUGACUAUAAAUGACAUGUCAUAUAGUCAUAUAACAUGACUAUAAAUUACCUCACUUUUAUAUUUUGUUAAAUAGAUAUUGUUGUUUUAAGUGUUGAUCUGGCAUCAUGGGCAUGAUUUCCCUGCAGAAAGGCUAGGUGUUCAGCUUCUAGCUUUUAUCUCUCUCUCUGAUGUUUCUUAGACUGUCACUCAUAUCACAGCAAGAUUAAAAAGCUUUUGAGUGCAUUGCUAUGUUUUGCAAAUGCUCAGUCCAGCUGUAGCGCAUGAGAUCUUUGUAUACUGAUGACAGCUAUUUAAGCAAUUACUAGCCAAAAAAAUACAGGUCAUCUGCUGCUGAAUGGAGCUUCUGACUCAAAGCACAGUUCUGAGCAAGUGCUGACAUUCUUUUCAAGAUAGCACCAGCGACUUAAUACUUUUGUAGUCUUUUUCUCUGUGUAGCUACAUUCUUUAGCUACAUUUUAGUAAAUUAUCAUGGCUUUUGGGAUUAGAUCACUAAACAAUCUUAUAACCAAUAUAGCAAAGCUGAAGAAGAUGAUAAAGGAAAUCUUAAUUGGAGGUAUACAAUGAUGACUCAGUCAUUUGAUUUCUAAUAAUAUAAGAAUAUUAGCCAUUUAUGAAAAAUGAAUACUAUCUGCUAUGCAAAACUGUCCUGACUGACAGCAAAUAAUAUUGUGGUCUUCAGUAUUUCCAAGGGUUUUUUUGAGAGGAACUUGGAUCUUUUUUCUCAUAUGGAUGAUUAAAUAUUUAGCAUAAGUUGUGUGUAUGCAGGCAAAGUAUCUUAGGUCCUGUCUUCUCCUCUAUGGAGCUUCUUACUCAGUACAGACUGAAUUUGACCCCUAUCUUCAGAUAGGUCAAAAUUCCAGUCUACUUCAUCCCCUUGUUAGGCUUCUAAACAAAUGUCCUUGCCAUCUGAUUUCAUCAGAAAUUCUGCACAAAAAUGCUCAGCAUUAUCUGAUCUCUCUGAAAUUAUAUUUUACUAAGAAGGAUUUGUUUAAAAAGUUUUUGUUUUAUAUUUUUCAUAAUUGUCUCACAAAAAAAAUGAAGCUGCUUCUGACAUACCAUAUCAGGUCAGGUGUAUAUUAUUCCCGUAUAAUCCACGCUGUCUUUCAAGUUUUACAGGUCCUAACAAGUGUCUGGAGUACCUGUGCAAAAGGUAAACCUAGAAAGUAAAAUAACUGCUGUGAUUCUGUUCAGAAAUGAGAAAAUUAAGGAAACACUCAAAUAAACAACCAAAUUAAAUGCUGACAUCAUAAAUUAAAGUUCUCACAUGCAUAUUGGGACGUCCAGACAAAAGCGUGCUAUAAAGAGCUUCUAAACAUGGAUGGUAUUUAUGAGGUAGAUAUAAAUGACCACUUGAGAGCCAUUAUAUUCUAUAAUAUAAAUAAGCAUUUAAGGACUUUUGAAAAUUUGUAAUUAUGAUAGCACAGAAGCUCUAAAUUGGUUUUCCAUAAAUGUUUUAUGAGGCAUUCGUUACUUCCAUUGUUAAGAUAAUGUCUUAAUUAAUACAUUUUACCUUUAUGUCACUAACAGAUUUUAGACACGCUGGAAGGAUGAUAUGCUAGAAAGUAUCCUCAAUUUAGUUUUGGACUGAAACAACACAUUACUUAACUGGAUAUUUAGUGCAAAAACAUAUAAAAAAUAACUCUAAUUGAACAGAUGUUACAACAUGAGUAUUAAAUGCCCAGUAUUUUUCUCUUCUUGGUUCCCUGUUUUGCUAGCAGAAUAUGUAAACACCUUUUCAGGGAAAAGCAGGGGAGGACAGGGAUGGGCGUGGGUGAGAAAAGAUACAUAUUUUACAUUUUCACCUAUGCCAGCUUUACUUCAGGAUGAUCUCCUUCAUGAAGAGAGGUUUGAACUGUGCUGUCUCCUUUGAGAAGACAUUCCUGUUACCCACAGCCUGGUCUGUAAUGUCUUAUGUAGACCACCUGUCCAGGCUAGCGGCACACCGUGGUUUGGUUUUGGAUGCAAUUAUUAAAGAAAAGUUAAACUGGGCUUUCUAAAUUUUUUAAAAAGAAAUAAACAAAAUAAGCAAAGGUAUGUCAUGUUCACAUUCUAACAUUGUACAAUUGUCACUGAGAGGAAAGUGAAAUGAGGUCUGAGGGCAUGAGAGGUGUCAUUCUGGGAUAGGGAGUAAGGGAAUCCUCACCACAAUUACAGAAAUGCCUGUACUGUUCAAGAACCCAUUUUGAUCUUGCUCAAAUCGUUAAAGUCUGAUUCUAUCAGUAAAAAGUAAAAUUAAAGUAUUGACCAACUUAUUGAAACAUAUUCUAUAGGUACUUCUCUCAUCACCGAACUAAUUUUGAGAAGAAAACUCUUUGCCUGAUUACUUAGGCUUUAUGCAAGAGUCAAGAUAACAGUGGCAAUGCCAGCAGGAGAUUUUUCUAUUUCUGCAAUGUAUGGAAAUAUUUAAGUAGGGAUGAGAUCUUCUUUUAUUGAGAUGAUGU